GAGUUUGAUCCUGGCUCAGAACGAACGCUGGCGGCGUGCCUAACACAUGCAAGUCGAACGUGAUCCAGAGCUUGCUCUGGUGAAAGUGGCGCACGGGUGAGUAACGCGUGGAUAACCUACCCUGGUAUCCGGGAUAACAUUCCGAAAGGGGUGCUAAUACCGGAUAAGCCCACGGGCUCUUUGGAGCUUGCGGGAAAAGGUGGCCUCUAUUUAUAAGCUACUGUAUCAGGAUGGGUCCGCGUACCAUUAGCUAGUUGGCGGUGUAACGGACCACCAAGGCGACGAUGGUUAGCUGGUCUGAGAGGAUGAUCAGCCACACUGGAACUGAGACACGGUCCAGACUCCUACGGGAGGCAGCAGUGGGGAAUUUUGCGCAAUGGGGGAAACCCUGACGCAGCAACGCCGCGUGAGUGAUGAAGGCCUUUGGGUCGUAAAGCUCUGUCUGAGGGGAAGAAAUGAUAUAGUGCUAAUACCACUUUAUCUUGACGGUACCCUCAAAGGAAGCACCGGCUAACUCCGUGCCAGCAGCCGCGGUAAUAC
rnacentral:rRNA from 1 species